ACGACGACACCUUUGAACUCAAAAGCUUUUUGAGUUACGUAUACGCCGAGGCAGCUCAAUACAACAAUAAUGUGUAUUCGGUUGCCAGCAUGUGCGAGGCUAUUAACACGAGCCCACCAAACACUCUACUAGACAUCUUCGCAGGUGUGGCUGCUUCUACAGGAAAUAAACCUUGUUAUGGUUCUGAUCAGCUCACAGACAGUGACAGGGCAUGGGGAUGGCAGGGUCUCAUUGUAUGGAUAUUAUUAACUUGAAGCGCAAGGAAGACCCGGAUUGGCUCGUGGAGCAACGUGAGAAAGGAGUUGAGAUCAUUGAAUCUUGGAUAUUCACACCUAUCAGAAUGAUCUUAAGGAUCUUAGAAUAUCGAUUUAAUAUUUCACUGGUUGUAACUUGUAAUAUGAUUAAAAAAAACAUAUGUAAAACAAA